AUGAUUACUAAAUGUUACAUGAAUUGUAAAUAUGAAAUAUCAAAACCAAAUGUACACCUCUUUGGCAACAAUUCACUUAAUGGUGAUGCAUGGAAUCAUAAAACAAGACAGUCAGCUACAUUUUGGAGUGAUGCAUUUAAAUUUAGGGGUCGCGAAACAAAGGAACACAAGACUUAUUUGUCAUCACUCAUCGAUAUCAUGUUGAAAUCAAUUGUGCGAGAGGAGGGAGAUGUAAAAACUAAUAGCUCAAAAACCCCACAUAAUCUGGGAAUAAUGUGUACAUCACUGGUUAGAGGACAAUUUGUAGAUCCAGUGGGUCACCAACGUGGUAAACAGCUAGUUACAUUUUGAAGUGUUGCAUUUUGAUUCAAGUGGGUCACCAACAUGGUAAUUGAAACACAGCUCUUUUUGUGUUAGUCACUUUUUGUUAAAUCACAUAAAUAGUACUCAUUCAAUUCAGACCCUGGAUUUUUCCAGAGGCUAAUAUCCAAAUCAUGCUGAAAUCAAUUGAAUGGGGUUUAACAUUUAGGGUUCUACAUUGUGAGAUUCCUUAAAAUACUCCUACUACAAUGUUAAAAACAUUCUGCAUUGUGACAUUAUUUAAUUGAUAUCAUGAAACAACUCCAUGUAUUUUCUGAUGUUUGAUCAGAGAUAUUUUAUCAGAGUAUCUCUUGUCACACUGAUCACAGUUAUAAGAUUUCUCUCCUGUGUGUGUUCUCUGGUGUAUAGUCAGAUCGCUAGACUGAACAAAACUCUUCCCACAUUGAUUACAACUAAAGGAUCUCUCUCCUGUAUGUGUUCUCUGGCAUAUAGUCAGAUUGCUAGAUGUAGUAAAACUCUUCCCACAUUGAAUACAGCUAUGGGAUUUCUCUCCUGUGUGUGUUCUCUGGUGUAGUUUCAAAGACUGUGAUGUUGAAAAGCUUUUCCCACAAUUUGAGCAGUGGUGAAGCUUCUCUCCUGUGUGUACUUGCUGGUGUGUAGUCAGAUGGCUAGAUGUAUUAAAACUCUUCCCACAUUGAUUACAGCUAUAAGAUUUCUCUCCUGUGUGUGUUCGCUGGUGUAUAGUCAGAUUGCUAGAUGUAAUAAAACUCUUCCCACAUUGAUCACAGCUAUAAGAUUUCUCUCCUGUGAGUGUCCGCUGGUGUAUAUUCAGAUAGCUAGAUGUAAUAAAACUCUUACCGCAUUGAUCACAGCUAAAAGGUUCCUCUCCUGUGUGUGUUCUCUGGUGUACUGUCAGAUCGCUAGACUGAACAAAACUCUUCCCACAUUGAUUACAACUAAAUGAUCUAGCUCCUGUGUGUGUUCGCUGGUGUAUAGUCAGAUUGCUAGAUGUAAUAAAACUCUUACCGCAUUGAUCACAGCUAAAAGGUUCCUCUCCUGUGUGUGUUCUCUGGUGUACUGUCAGAUCGCUAGACUGAACAAAACUCUUCCCACAUUGAUUACAACUAAAUGAUCUAGCUCCUGUGUGUGUUCGCUGGUGUAUAGUCAGAUUGCUAGAUGUAAUAAAACUCUUACCGCAUUGAUCACAGCUAAAAGGUUCCUCUCCUGUGUGUGUUCUCUGGUGUACUGUCAGAUCGCUAGACUGAACAAAACUCUUCCCACAUUGAUUACAACUAAAUGAUCUAGCUCCUGUGUGUGUUCUCUGGUGUAUAGUCAGAUUGCUAGAUGUAGUAAAACUCUUCCCACAUUGAAUACAGCUAUAAGGUUUCUCUCCUGU
rnacentral:lncRNA from 1 species